rnacentral:tRNA from 1 species
GCGGCUCACUAGAUCAACAGAUCUGCCUCGAGUGCUCGCCACCCUGUCAAGGUGGAGAUCAGGGGUUCGAAUCCCCUCUGGGACGCU